rfam:Gossypium arboreum cultivar AKA8401 contig_203621_1, whole genome shotgun sequence.
GGGUGCAAUCAUACCAGCACUAAUGCACCGGAUCCCAUAAGAACCUUGCAGUUAUGCGUGCUUGGGCGAGAGUAGUUCUAGGAUUGGUGACCUCGUGGGAAGUCCUCGUGUUGCACCCC